GCCCUACGGGGGGCAGCAGUGAGAAAUAUUGGUCAAUGGACGAGAGUCUGAACCAGCCAAGUAGCGUGAAGGAUGACUGCCCUAUGGGUUGUAAACUUCUUUUAUAUGGGAAUAAAACAGGGUAUGCAUACCCUCUUGUAUGUACCAUAUGAAUAAGGAUCGGCUAACUCCGUGCCAGCAGCCGCGGUAAUACGGAGGAUGCGAGCGUUAUCCGGUUUUAUUGGGUUUAAAGGGUGCGUAGGCGGGAUGCCAAGUCAGCGGUAAAAAUGCGGUGCUCCACGACGCCGAGCCGUUGA
rnacentral:rRNA from 1 species